UGCAGCUGUGUCAAAUUCGGCACCUGCCCACUCAUGGCAGGUGCCGGCCCAGAAGGCUGCCACAGAAACCUGUGACUCAUGGGCCCUGCUCCCCGGCACUGGGGCUCAGGGAUAAGUUUGGUCACAGACAUGG